rnacentral:rRNA from 1 species
UACGGAGGGGGCUAGCGUUGUUCGGAAUUACUGGGCGUAAAGCGCACGUAGGCGGCUUUGUAAGUUAGAGGUGAAAGCCCAGGGCUUAACCCUGGAAUUGCCUUUAAGACUGCAUCGCUAGAAUCGUGGAGAGGUGAGUGGAAUUCCGAGUGUAGCGGUGGAAUGCGUAGAGAUCCGGAAGAACACCGGUGGCGAAGGCGGUCUGCUGGGCAGUUGCUGACACUGAGGCGCGACAGCGUGGGGAGCAAACAGG